UGGUGGGUAGUUUGACUGGGGCGGUCUCCUCCUAAAGAGUAACGGAGGAGCACGAAGGUUGGCUAAUCCUGGUCGGACAUCAGGAGGUUAGUGCAAUGGCAUAAGCCAGCUUGACUGCGAGCGUGACGGCGCGAGCAGGUGCGAAAGCAGGUCAUAGUGAUCCGGUGGUUCUGAAUGGAAGGGCCAUCGCUCAACGGAUAAAAGGUACUCCGGGGAUAACAGGCUGAUACCGCCCAAGAGUUCAUAUCGACGGCGGUGUUUGGCACCUCGAUGUCGGCUCAUCACAUCCUGGGGCUGAAGUAGGUCCCAAGGGUAUGGCUGUUCGCCAUUUAAAGUGGUACGCGAGCUGGGUUUAGAACGUCGUGAGACAGUUCGGUCCCUAUCUGCCGUGGGCGCUGGAGAACUGAGGGGGGCUGCUCCUAGUACGAGAGGACCGGAGUGGACGCAUCACUGGUGUUCGGGUUGUCAUGCCAAUGGCACUGCCCGGUAGCUAAAUGCGGAAGAGAUAAGUGCUGAAAGCAUCUAAGCACGAAACUUGCCCCGAGAUGAGUUCUCCCUGACUCCUUGAGAGUCCUGAAGGAACGUUGAAGACGACGACGUUG
rnacentral:rRNA from 1 species